GGCUCGAAUUCUAGCCCAUAGAACAAUACAAAAAAUUAUACAGGCCAUAACUGCAAAUACAUCAUGGCCCAUAAUGAUCAACUUCACAUCCAAUAAAGGUUAGAAAAAAACAAAAUAACACAGGGAGACCACACCAGUUCGCACAAAUCCCCUAGAUCGAGCAAAACAAAUCGAGCACGCCAUAGACAGUGAGGAGAACGAGAAAAAGAAGAAGAAGCAAAUUCUUACCAAGAACAUUGAGGUCAAGAAGUUGAAAUCAACAAGACAUAAUCUUCCAGGGUCAGGUAUAUUGCAAUCUCAAAAAUCAGGAGAUACACAAUCAGAUGGAUAUGAAAUGAGAAGCAAAAUUGUGUCUGAAGAAAUGAGAAGCAAGAAGACAGUUAAAGGUUCUGUUACAAUUCGAUCUCAAGUAACAGUGGAUACAUAAUCAGAGAGAUCUGAAAGAGAUAACAUUAAUUUCGUCUGAUGAAAAAAGAAGCAAGAAGACAACUAAAGGGUCUGAUGGGUUACAGUCUGAAAAAUCAGGGGAUAUGCAAUCGGAGAGAUAUGAAAGUGACAAAAUUUUGUCCAGAGAAAUAAGAAGCAAGAAAACAUUGAAAGGUCAGUUAUCAUGCUCACCUAGCAUUAUGCACCAUAAAAUGAUCUUGGCAGACAAUAUAAUCUAGCAUAAAAUUAUAUACAACAAAUUAGAGAUUGUAGCGUUGAUAAAUUUUCAAGGACUAUAUAUCUAUAGUUAGUUACAGUGAGAAAUAACAAAAGUUACAUAUGUAACUACAAUACAUAUAGACUGUAACUGGGCUAAAACUGCAAGCAUGCUUGAAUUUCUUCAAAAAAUAAAGAAUUUCUUCAGAAAAGGAGUCACU